rnacentral:lncRNA from 1 species
GGCCUACACCACAGCCACAGCAACGCAGGAUCUGAGCUGCAUGUGCAACCUACAACACAGCUCACGGCAACACAGGAUCCUUAACCCACUGAACGAGUCCAGGGAUCGAACCCGCAACCUCAUGGUUCAUAGUUGGAUUCAUUUCCGAUGUACCAUGAUGGGAACUCCUAUAAAUUACAUUUCUAUGAUGACGCUUUAUUUACUGUAAGUAUUUAUGACCUUGGGUAAUAAGUACAUUAACUAGUGACAUGUUAUGUAGCAUCUAGUAUAAUUAAAAACUAAUCAUGAUCUAUCAUGGCAAAUAUUUCUUCAUGACUGGGACAACAACACUUAGUCAAAACCAUAGUGAACUGACAGUAUUUUCAGUUAUAGUUAUAAUACAAUUUCAAGGUGUUCAAUAUAAUUUUUUUUCCCUAGGGGAAAGAAAAGCAAUUGAUUUUCAAGCCUCAAUUCUACUUGAGGCUUGGUGAAAAAAUCCUUUGGCCAGCACAUCGAAAGGAAUAAAAAAUAAAAAGGAAAAGGCAAAACUCAUGAAUGAGGAUGAACUUAUUCAGGAGGACACAGUUAGCUAUUUUAUUUUCUUUAAGUCAAGUUCUUUAUCAUAGCUAGAGAUUAAUGUAUAACAUCUGAUUACACACUGUAACUAUAGCAGGAUAAGUUUGAGGAGAAGGGCCAGCUGGCAUCUUGCGUUCUUCUUAAAUAAUUUACUGUCCAAUGAUAGACACUUGGUAUAUAUUUAAUAAAUGAGAAAUGGAAUUCAUGUAAGUGGAGGAAUAUAUGUAACUCAUAUAAUUUCUAUGGCAGAGAAAGCCUAAAACCAAUUUCAGAAACCAAUGUAUUAUAAGAAAUAUCCUAAAAUAAGACUAAUGAUGGACAGUUUUGCGAACUUUUAGAUAAAUAUGAAGACAUUAUCCAUUCAGGAAGUAGUUAUAGAGUACCAGUACUAUGCUAAGGCACAGUUCUAGGUGGUUAGAAUAUGAUAGCAAGUGAGAGAUGUAAAGAUGUUUGAACCAUGCUUUAAACGGUUCUGCCUACAAAACAGGAUAUUACUAUGCAAAUUUAGUUUAAAGGCCAAUAAUUAGGGGCCUUCACCUGCUGUAAUCAAGAAUCAUUGUCUUGGGUGGUCAGUCUCCAUUGUUUUAGAGAAUCAACUUGUUAGUGGUGGCUGCAAUAAUGGUUUCAGAUAUCAAUAUGUUGAAAAACUAGUGGCUUUGCAGUUGGUGUUCUGGACUUCAGAAGUGGAUUUAUUUUAGUGAAAAGAGAGGCUCUUGGCUAUUAUGAUGACUACUAAAUUUGGGCAUUGGUGGAGAACCUAAAAAUAUUCAAUAAAUAUCCAUUGGUUAAAAUGUUUUAGAAUCACUCCCUUCUUUGGCACAAUAGAGCAAAAAAAAAUCUAGCAAAUCGUGUAUCUUGUAUCCUACAGUCAGCCUCAAGUAGGGUGAUGGUUUGCUUCCUGGAGAUGACCAUAAAAGUAUGACAGAGCAUUGUUUUAUCUGCUCUUUGUGCAAAGUGUGGUUGGAAUCCCUAAAAGACAGAGAGCUGGGAGAAGAAAAUGAAGGUUGAGGAGGAGGACCAGGCUACCUCAGACCUCUUUGCCAACUUCUAUAAUAUAUAAAUAUCAAAAUAAAAGAAUAAAAACUUAACCAUUGUCCAUGAUCACACCAACUGAGGUUGGAAGACAACAAAAAUAUUCUACCCUAUGGAGCUUAUAUUCUGGUAAGAGAAAUUAACAAUACACAAAUAAAUAUACCAAAACAGAGCAAGACCCAGUGAGACUUUCCCAGGGCAGACCUCCUUCCCCCAGUGUUCUCAGCCUACCUUUUGUCUGUAGAGAAACUUUACUCAAAGGGCAAAUUUAAUCGGAGAAGUGAGGAAAUACAGAAACAAAAGGAAUUCAGUCAAACAGGAUAAAAGAAUAAUAGUCAUUAAGCAAAAUCAAGGACCUUUAGCUCAUCAUCAAGGGCUAUGGAUAAUAUUCUGAUCUAUAUCCUUUGGGCUGUUUUGUUGAUACUGAAACCUCCACCAAGUGGAAGAAGUUAACUAUGUGGUGACCAAACUGUAGCCAUGACAUAUGCUGCCACAAUUCUGAGAACUGGCCUCAAAGAAAUGGGAACAAACAGACUCCUGGAACUGAAGAUUAACUGUACUUAUAAUCAAGAUGACACUAAUCUGACCACCACAUGAAUAAUUCAAGAUGAUUGUCAGAGUCGACUGUGCUAUUCUGCAGGUAGCCUCUCCCUCUCUAUACAGCUCUGAAACUCCUUUUAAAAGCUCUUGCCCCCUGACUCAUAGAGGGCACUGGCCUUUGGACAUGAGUCUGCCUUCUUCGCAGGUUGCCAGCGUCCUGAAUAAAGCAACUUUUCCUUUCUUCCAACACUUGUCUCUUGAGUUUGGCUUUCGAUCAGCAAACAGCCAGUCCUGAGUUUGCUAACAAUAGUAAAUAUUAAGCUACUUUAUUGAUUAUUCACAUGCCUUUGAGUAUAUGAUAGUUAAGCCAAGAUCUGACUGCAAUGGAUUAAAAUGAAGAUUGAAAAAAAAAUCACCUCAGACAGAUUUUUUUCAGCUCUCAUCAGGAUUUGGAGCUCUUCUUCUUAACAUGUACAUAAAGAAGAUGGUUGGAACUAAGUGUCUGCUAACCAUAUAGAAUCAGUGGGCAGGAGAAAAUAAUUCUUGAUUCUAAAGAAUGGUUUGAAUAUCUAGAUACAUCACGUGGGGAGAGACAGUGCCUAUUUUGUCCUUUAUGAUAAAUAAACUGAGAAUCAAAUACAAAAUAGCUCACAUCUUUUUCAACUCUAAAAUUUAAGUAAUUUUAAUUUUUUUGACUUUAUUUUAUUUUUGGGGGUAUUUAUUUAUUUAUUACUCAAUGAACAUAUCAUAUCUGUAGUUGUAUAAUGAUGCAUCACAAUCCAAUUUCACAGGAUUUUCAUCCCACAACCCAAGCACAUUCCCCACCCCUCCAAACUGUCUCCUCCAGAGACCAUACGUUUUUCAAAGUCUGUGAGUCAGCAUCUGUUGUGCAAAGAAGUUCACUCUGUCCUUUUUUCAGAUUCCCCAUGUCAGUGAAAGCAUUUGAUGUUGGUGGCUAAUUGUAUGGCUGCCUUCACUUAGCAUGAUAAUUUCUAGGUCCAUCCAUGUAGGCUUUGAUAUAAAUGAAAUUUAAGGCAUGUGUUUUUUAAUAAGAGCUUCGUUGUGAUAUAAUUCACAUAACUUACAAUUCAUGCAUUUAUAGUUGUACAACUAAAUCAUUUUUAGUUCAAUCAUCACCACAAUUUUUAUCUAUGGCCCAAAGAAACCUUGUACCUAUUAAUAGGCUCUUGCUACUUUCCCCCAGACUGUGCCCCUUCCAGUCUGAGGCAAUGUUAAUUAAGUUUUUAUCUCUUUGGAUUUGCAUACUCUGAAUAUACGAGAGAUGGAAUCACACCUAUGUGAUGUUUGUGACUAGUUUCUUAUACUUAGCAUAAUGCUUUCAAGGUUCACUCAGGUUAUAGCAUUUUAUAACCUGAUUUUUUUCACUCAUUGCCGUAUAACGCUCACUGUGGAGAUAUACCACAUUUAUUUAUCCAUUCAUCAGCUGAUAUACAGUUUACAUGUUUUCAUACUUGCCUGCUAUAAAUCAAAUGCUGUCAUGAGCAUUUAUGUUCAUGUUUUUGUGUGGACUUAUGUUUUAUUUUUUUCCUGGGCAUGUAUCUAGGAGUGGAAUUACUGGGUUGUAUGCUAACUCUAUGUUUAUCCUUCUGAAGGACUACAGGCUAUAAGUUGAUGUAGCAUUUUACAUUCUAUAUGUUGUGUAUGAGUAGUGUUUUCCACAGGGUAAACAUUUAAGGGAAAGCUUUUCAAAUUCAAAAGGUAAUCUUAGGGAUAGAAUAGCAGUUCAUAACUUGGCAAGUUUGUACUUGGUAACCUCAAACCCUCAUGAUAUUGUGACACUCUGAAUGGUUUUUAUUGUGAAACUCUUAUUUUAUUGUGACACUCUGAGCAGUUUUAUCACCUAUUGUAACCACUAAGUAGCAUGCUUUUAUUUUGCCUCUCAUUCUUUUAGGCUCUUAUUUCAUUAUCUGCUACUUACUGGAAGUUGUGAGCAUUUCUCAGGUGUAGCAAGCUGAACAAUGAAUCCGAAAGAUAACUAAAUAUUAAUCCCUAGGAACUUUGUAAUAUUGUGGAGCAGAAUGGACUUCGCAGAUGUGAUUAAAUUACGAUUUUGAGAUGGAGAAAUUAUCCUAGGUUGUCCCAAGUGAGUUCUAAAUGAAACCCCAAAUUGGGAGGCAAAGGGAGAUUUGAGACAGAAGAAAGCAACAUCACAUUUCUUUUGGUGUUGCCUGGACCCCAUAAACCAGGGGCAAAAAUCCCCUAUUAGGUGGCCCCUUUACCCAACCCAUUUAAGAAGCCUGGUGAUAAAGAGGCUUUUGCAAUUCUGAAAGCUUUCCUGGGAGCAUCAUCCUCAGGCCUGCCACUUGUGUGCAAAUUUGUUUCUACUUUUGGGAAAGAAGCCUUGCCAUGACAACUCCCAGGCAAAUAAGUAAUGGAGCUCAGUUUAUGAAAUCUAGGCUCCAAAUUCAGGUUAGGUACUGGGUAGAGGUGAAGCACUCUGCACGAGCAUACCAGAAUCAAAGCAGGGAAAGAACAGACGAAAUAAUAUCCUGAAUUUUAUGGACGAAUUUUCCUCAGAAAUAUGCAGACCAGUUCAUAUAAUUUGAUUCCCUCAAACACCAUUUGGAUAAUUUUUCUUAAGUACAACAUUCUAGUGCCCCAUCCUACAGGGGCUUUGAUGCACUGUCACAUUUAAUCUUGUCCAAAAUACCCUGGGAUAGAUAGUUCUUACCUCCACUUUGCGUCUGAAGAAACCAAGGUUAAGAUAAAUUGGCCAACUCUAGAAAGAAGAAGACACAGAUA